CCACUUCACAUAUAGGGGAAGAUACCAUGAUCAUGAUGAUGGUUUUUCCAGGGUAAGGUUUAUCUAUUGAACUCUGGAUGUGCUCAUCUUUGCGACUGCCCCAAAUGCAGGAAACUUGACUGCAUAACUUGUAGUAGUAGAACACUGCAUUUAUACUCUCCUCCUAC
ensembl:snRNA U1 U1 spliceosomal RNA